rnacentral:rRNA from 1 species
AUGCGACCGAGUGGAAAUUUCAUGCAUCUGGAAAGUCGAAAAGAAUGGCGUGUUAAAUCACUAACUGUUGCAGCAGUUGAGUCGGGAAAAGGCAAGGAGAAAAUGGAUGCCGACUCGCUUAUCUUGGGCACCGAAACAUUCGCCAUACAGCAGCCGAUUGUGCAUAGAAAUCCGACUGAGCCGAUAUUUUCUAUCACGCCAAAGCACUCGGCUAAUGACCAUGAAGCAAGCACCAGCCGAGUAAAAACGAGAGAUCCUAAAUACACUCAGCCAAAGUGGUGUCCUCCAGGGCUAACAAAGACACAAAAGAGGAAACUACAGAGGUUAAGGAGUCAAGAGAUGGCAGAACAAGAGGACGAGAAGCAAAGGGAUAAGUUUUUCAAUGACACUCGGCCUAUGGUACCUACAAAACAAGUGUGGAGGCCCAAACAAAUACAAGAUGCUGUGGCUUCUACACCUAUCACAGCAGCACCUACACUACCAAAAGAGGACGGCGCAAUCAUUGCAUCGUCUACGUUACCUAUUGCUUCCUCUUCACUCGGACAAAUUUCUGAAUCGGUGGAUGCACUUGAGGAGGAGGCUGAUAUGUUGGACUAUGAGUCUACACCGGUUCAUGAAGGUAUGGAUAUCAAUAUGGUGUAUUACUUAUCUGGUGAGUUUCGUGCUGUAGAUGAGGAAGGGAAGGUUGCUCAGCUGGAUUUUGGCCCUAAAAACGCGAUAUUCGAGAAGCCAAAAGAACCAGUAACGCAUAUGAAACCAUUAUAUCUUAGAGGUCAUAUCAAUGGGUCGCCGCUCACUCGGAUGCUUGUUGAUGGUGGUGCUGUGGUAAAUCUUAUGCCCUAUUUGGUCUUCAAGAAAUAG